GACGAACGCUGGCGGCGUGCUUAACACAUGCAAGUCGAGCGGUAAGGCCCUUUCGGGGGUACGACGAGCGGCGAACGGGUGAGUAACACGUGGGUGACCUGCCCUCAGCUCUGGGAUAAGCCUGGGAAACCGGGUCUAAUACUGGAUAUGACUCCAUGACGCAUGUUGGUGGGGUGGAAAGCCUUGUGCGGCUGAGGAUGGGCCCGCGGCCUAUCAGCUUGUUGGUGGGGUGAGGCCUACCAAGGCGACGACGGGUAGCCGGCCUGAGAGGGCGACCGGCCACACUGGGACUGAGACACGGCCCAGACUCCUACGGGAGGCAGCAGUGGGGAAUCUUGCGCAAUGGGCGAAAGCCUGACGCAGCGACG
rnacentral:rRNA from 1 species